rnacentral:siRNA from 1 species
GGCUGGUCCUUUCAAGUGUUCGAC